rnacentral:rRNA from 1 species
GAAUAUUGGACAAUGGGGGGAACCCUGAUCCAGCCAUGCCGCGUGGGGGAAGAAGGCCUUUUGGUGGUAAAGCACUUUAAGCGAGGAGGAGGCUACCCUAGUGACAAACUAGAGAUAGGGGACGGUACUGGCAGAAGAAGCACCGGCUAACUGUGUGCCAGCCGCCGCGGUAAUACAGAGGGUGCUAGCGUUCAUCGGAUUUACUGGGCGUAAAGCGCGCGUAGUUGGCCAAUUAAGUCGAAUGUGAAAUCCCCGAGCUUAACUUGGGACUUGCAUUCGAUACUGGUUGGCUAGAGUAUGGGAGAGGAUGGUAGAAUUCCAGGUGUAGCGGUGAAAUGCGUAGAGAUCUGGAGGAAUACCGAUGGCGAAGGCAGCCAUCUGGCCUAAUACUGACACUGAGGUGCGAAAGCAUGGGGAGCAAACA